AUACACACCAGAAUCAGAAGCAUCGGGAAGUAACGAAUACAUCCCGGUGCUGGACAAUGCAACGACUCAAAGCAAGAAUGAGAGCAGAAAUGUAAAUAGU